UGCAGGAGGCUACCUUGUGCCUCGGUUGGU
rnacentral:sRNA from 1 species